rnacentral:rRNA from 1 species
UACGUAGGGUGCGAGCGUUGUCCGGAAUUAUUGUGCGUAAAGAGCUCGUAGGCGGUGUGUCGCGUCGGCCGUGAAAACCUGCAGCUUAACUGUGGGCUUGCGGUCGAUACGGGCAUCACUGGAGUUCGGCAGGGGAGACUGGAAUUCCUGGUGUAGCGGUGAAAUGCGCAGAUAUCAGGAGGAACACCGGUGGCGAAGGCGGGUCUCUGGGCCGAUACUGACGCUGAGGAGCGAAAGCGUGGGGAGCGAACAGG